GCCGCGGUAGCUCAGCCUGGGAGAGCGCCCGGCUGAAGACCGGGUUGUCGCAGGUUCAAAUCCUGCCCGCGGCA
rnacentral:tRNA from 1 species